CAGCAGCCGCGGGAAUACGGAGGGAGCUAGCGUUGUUCGGAAUUACUGGGCGUAAAGCGCGCGUAGGCGGUUACUCAAGUCAGAGGUGAAAGCCCGGGGCUCAACCCCGGAACUGCCUUUGAAACUAGGUGACUAGAAUCUUGGAGAGGUCAGUGGAAUUCCGAGUGUAGAGGUGAAAUUCGUAGAUAUUCGGAAGAACACCAGUGGCGAAGGCGACUGACUGGACAAGUAUUGACGCUGAGGUGCGAAAGCGUGGGGAGCAAACAGGAUUAGAUACCUCGGUAGUCCCUGUCUCUUAUAA
rnacentral:rRNA from 1 species